CCCGCAGACCACUCAACGAAACGCCCCUUUACUCAACGAAACGCCCCUUCACACUACACGACACUCUGAUUGGCUCUCAAGAGACUGCGUCUGAAACGUGAUGAAGUUUACGUUGACCGAGUAUGAAGAGAGAACCCGAAAAAGUAACACGGGAAAAACACGGGAAAAUGACGGAGGAAAAGAGCAACACUACGUUCAGUGAAGGAGCAGACCCUGAGCUGAGGAGAUGCGACUCGGACACUUAUCAGUGUCUGAUCUGCACAAAAAAGGGGAGCUAUGCAAAGCUUGUGUCCCAUCUGCAGGGACACCAAAGGAAAGGGCCCAACGAGCCCAACAGAAGCGACGCGAGGCAUGUUGUCUGUUAACCAGUGUAAUCACAGAGGAUCAGGGCAUGCUGCAACACCUUAAAAAUAUCAUCACAGGCAACACGGUGUCCCCUUGGGCCAAGAAACAGGACAGGGUCAUCCUUCUUUUUGAAGAUGAUGAACAAGUGGACAAAGUCAUUGUGAGUUCAUUGUGAUCAAAGGCAAGAACGUACAUGUAAUGUGUACAUUAUGUCCCGGAGCAAAAACUUUGUCGACAUCCGUUGUAAGCAAUUCUAAUUUAAUGAAGCAUCUCACAAUGGCACACGCAUCUACAAAGUUAGUUGCCAAAAACACAGAUGAUUGAGAGUUUGAUUUAUUUAAUUAAGAAUAAGACUACAGAGCUAAACACACUUUUUUGUUGUUUAAAAGUUUACUUUUGUUGUCUCAGGUUGAGAGUUUGAUUUAAUUUGCUGGAGUUAAAUGCACUUUAUAUGGUGUAACUGUUUCUUACAAAGAUAAUACUUGAAGUGCAGGAUAAACAUCUUGCUGUCUGUCGAUGUGCAAUAAAUAUAGAAAGUUAUGUACAAA